ensembl:lncRNA
GGGGGAACCGGUACAGAGUCAAUGUGGAGGCUAUAUACAGGGUAUUACGGUACAGAGUCAAUGUGGAGGCUAUAUACAGGGUAUUACGGUACAGAGUCAAUGUGGAGGCUAUAUACAGGGUAUUACGGUACAGAGUCAAUGUGGAGGCUAUAUACAGGGUGUUACGGUACAGAGUCAAUGUGGAGGCUAUAUACAGGGUGUUACGGUACAGAGUCAAUGUGGAGGCUAUAUACAGGGUAUUACGGUACAGAGUCAAUGUGGAGGCUAUAUACAGGGUAUUACGGUACAGAGUCAAUGUGGAGGCUAUAUACAGGGUAUUACGGUACAGAGUCAAUGUGGAGGCUAUAUACAGGGUAUUACGGUACAGAGUCAAUGUGGAGACGAUAUACAGGUGGGGUACCAGUACAGAGUCAAUGUGGA